UCUCUUCUGGCUCAUUAUCAUAUGUUUGCAUUUGGUUUGUCUGAUUGCUGCAGGUGGAAACAAUAGGUGAUGCAUACUGUGUUGCCGCAGGACUCCAUAGGAAAAGCCUCUGCCACGCUAAGCCCAUUGCUCUCAUGGCCCUGAAGAUGAUGGAGCUUUCAGAAGAGGUGCUGACACCUGAUGGAAGACCAAUUCAGAUGAGGAUAGGCAUCCACUCAGGUUCUGUGCUCGCUGGAGUUGUUGGGGUAAGAAUGCCACGAUAUUGGCUGUUUGGAAAUAAUGUCACUCUGGCAAGCAAAUUCGAAUCAGGAAGUCACCCUCGGCGCAUCAACGUCAGCCCUACCACUUACCAACUGCGUGUUCCUGGUGACUGUGCCAGCUUGGAGAUUUGGAUGUGAUGGACUGGGGAUCCUGGAACCCUCCUUGCUGAGGCUUCCCUGGUGGGAUGUCUGGAACCACACUGGGUGCAGUCCAGGCUACUGUGCGGAGGGUGCCCUGGCAGGACAACUGCAGUGGAAGUGGAUGCAAGCUGAGGGAUCCUGGGGAUCUCUGCACCAAGGAUGGCCAGGAAAUGCAUGCCAGAAUGUACCCUCUCGCAAAAACACCAGGCAUGCAGACUAUGGAAUCCACAGUAAGCACACUUGGCUGUCAACAUUUAACUCAGGAUGCUUGCAGAAAAAAAUGAGUCACAGCAUCAGCAUAGGGCUCUCUGCCCUGUAUUUUUCAGAGGACAUGCAGGAAGACUAUCCCUUUCUGAGGAUUAACUUGAAUUAA
rnacentral:lncRNA from 1 species